CUCCAGUCUCUCCCUCUCCCACUCAAUUCCCCAUUCCCCCACCGCGUUUCCUCCAACCACCAGGGACGGCGAGGGCAAGCUCCGGAGUGGGUGACCACGGCCAGGUGCCAGACGAGCUCCGCGACGGGGCAUCGCGGGCAAGCUCCUCGAGGGGCUGCGAGGGCGAGCUCGGCCAUGGCACGGAGCGGGCGAGCCAGCUAGGGGCGGCGCGGGAGAGAUCCUCCAGGGGCGGCACGGGCGAGGUACGCCAUAGCCGGCGCGGGCGACCACGGCGAGAUGCUGGCGCCGACGAGCUCCGCGAUGGGGCGGCGCGGGCGAGCUCCUCGAGGGGCGGCGAAGGCGAGCUCGGCCAUGGCGCGGCUGGGCAAGCUCUAGCCAGGGGCGGCCGCGGGCGUGAGCAAGUACGAACAGUUCCCUCCGGCGAAAUUUCCCAUCCAGCCAUGGUGUAUGCGCGUGCAUUGUGUUCAGGUUUUAUGGAUUGGGAAGUGUCUGAAGGUUUAGUUAUUGAAUCCAUUAACAGUUUUGCUUCAUAGCUCUGCAGCCUCUUCAUUGGGAACUUGGUUUGGAAACAUCGAGUAUAGUAGACAACGAGUUAGAAGAACUGUUUGAGUUAUCUCUUAGAAUGUUUGAUACAAGAUUACCACCUGGAGUAACCGUUCUCUCGCCCUUUGCUGAAGAUUCUUUUCUGACUAAAGUUGGAGUAGAGAACUUACCAGAGGAGUUAUUUCCAGUGCUUCGAACGAUACAACUGUUGUGCGGGCUGACUGUUGGGAUGGGCCUCCGUUUUUCAUAAAACUAUUUUCUUUUCACUGCCAAACUUUUUUCCUCCUAUUUUGCUAUGA